GAGCUUGUCGCGUGAGGAGGCGUGCAGUGCGCGCACAAGCAGUGGUCCCGGCGCUGAAAGGCAGAGAGCGACAGUCCAGAGCCGGCCAAGGGAGUAAGUAGACCGCGAAAAGCCGGCGUCGCACACAGCCCGGGAACCAGGAACUUAGAUGAGAAGAACACGCCGCCGAAUGAAGAACUGCGCCUGCGCACGACUACGUCAGGACAGCGCGCCGAGAGGGACAAACUUCCUGCUCCGGCAAUUUCCUAGAUGGGCGUGACUCCCGGCAACGUGCAAUCUUGGGAUUCGAGUGCUGGGAAAGGAAGAGCCUAAUCCUGAACCGUGCGUUUACAGCAAAGGAUUCCACACCAAGCCCAUCCACCUGCUUGAAGACUCCAGGACCUUCCUCUUACCAUUUCAGAGCCUCUUUCAAACCAAUUCCUGUGCCUUAGAUGCCCUGCUUUCCCUGAUCUUUACACUGGCCCUGUCCUUUGGCAAACUUCUACUUAUAAACACAGACAAGUGGAAAUGAAAUAAAGACCACACAGAAAAGAGAGUCCCC